rfam:Onchocerca volvulus assembly O_volvulus_Cameroon_v3 genomic scaffold, OVOC_OM4
AGAUGUCUAAUCUUUAUACAGGGCCUUGUCCAAGACCCGGGGAACAAUUUUUGGCUGUCUCCUCAGGAGGGGAGGCAC